rnacentral:rRNA from 1 species
AGUUUGAUCCUGGCUCAGGACGAACGCUGGCGGCGUGCCUAACACAUGCAAGUCGAACGCCGGAAGUCAGAUGACAGAGGCCAGAAGUCAGAAGGGAAAAAACCCAAAUCUGGCAUCCGGUUUCUGACAUCUGACAACUGGAGUGGCGGACGGGUGAGUAACGCGUGGGUAACCUACCCAUAAAGCCGGGACAACCCUUGGAAACGAGGGCUAAUACCGGAUAAUCUUAAGUCUUGGCAUCAAGGUUUAAGGAAAGGUGGCCUCUGAAAAUGCUACCGAUUAUGGAUGGACCCGCGUCUGAUUAGCUAGUUGGUGGGGUAAAGGCCUACCAAGGCGACGAUCAGUAGCCGGCCUGAGAGGGUGAACGGCCACACUGGGACUGAGACACGGCCCAGACUCCUACGGGAGGCAGCAGUGGGGAAUCUUCCGCAAUGGACGAAAGUCUGACGGAGCAACGCCGCGUGUAUGAUGAAGGUCUUCGGAUUGUAAAGUACUGUCUUUGGGGAAGAAUGACUGGUUUGAAAAUAUUGAGCCAGUAUGACGGUACCCAAGGAGGAAGCCCCGGCUAACUACGUGCCAGCAGCCGCGGUAAUACGUAGGGGGCAAGCGUUGUCCGGAAUUAUUGGGCGUAAAGGGCGCGUAGGCGGAUGUUUAAGUCCGGUGUGAAAGAUCAGGGCUCAACCCUGAGAGUGCAUCGGAAACUGGGCAUCUUGAGGACAGGAGAGGAAAGUGGAAUUCCACGUGUAGCGGUGAAAUGCGUAGAUAUGUGGAGGAACACCAGUGGCGAAGGCGA